rnacentral:rRNA from 1 species
CCUGAGGACGGCUUAUCGAUAUUAGCUAGUUGUGGGUAAUGCCUACCAAGGCAAAGAUGUCUAGGGGGUGUGAGAGCAUGGCCCCCACGACCGGAACUGAGAUACUGUCCGGACACCUACGGGUGGCUGCAGUCGAGAAUCUUCCGCAAUGGACGAAAGUCUGACGGAGCGACGCCGCGUGCGGGAUGAAGGCCCUUGGGUUGUAAACCGCUGUCAGAGGGGAUGAAAUCUUCGGAGGUACUCCUCCGAAGUUGACAAAGCCUCAAAGGAAGCACGGGCUAAGUACGUGCCAGCAGCCGCGGUAACACGUACUGUGCGAACGUUAUUCGGAAUCACUGGGCUUAAAGGGUGCGUAGGCGGCGAUUCAAGUCAGAUGUGAAAUGCCUGAGCUCAACUGAGGCAUUGCGUUUGAAACUGAUUCGCUUGAGUAUUUCAGGGGUGUGCGGAACUGCCAGUGGAGCGGUGAAAUGUGUUGAUAUUGGCAGGAACACCGGAGGCGAAAGCGGCACACUGGGGAAUAACUGACGCUGAGGCACGAAAGCCAGGGGAGCGAACGGGAUUAGAUACCCCGGUAGUCCUGGCUGUAAACGAUGAGCACUGGGCGGGAGGGGGUUUCCCUUUUCUGCCGUAGCGAAAGCGUUAAGUGCUCCGCC